rnacentral:rRNA from 1 species
AGAGUUUGAUCCUGGCUCAGGAUGAACGCUAGCGGCAGGCUUAACACAUGCAAGUCGAAGGGCAUCGCGGGGAGUGCUUACACUCCCUGGCGGCGACUGGCGCACGGGUGAGUAACACGUAUGCAACCUGCCCUCCACAGGGGGACAACCUUCCGAAAGGGAGGCUAAUCCCGCGUAAAUCUCGAUGGGGCAUCCCAUUGAGAGGAAAGCUUCGGCGGUGGAGGAUGGGCAUGCGGCGCAUUAGCUAGUCGGCGGGGUAACGGCCCACCGAGGCGACGAUGCGUAGGGGUUCUGAGAGGAAGGUCCCCCACACUGGUACUGAGACACGGACCAGACUCCUACGGGAGGCAGCAGUGAGGAAUAUUGGUCAAUGGGCGGGAGCCUGAACCAGCCAAGCCGCGUGAGGGAAUAAGGCCCUAUGGGUCGUAAACCUCUUUUGUCGGGGAACAAAAGCGGGGACGCGUCCCCGUCUGCGUGUACCCGAAGAAAAAGCAUCGGCUAACUCCGUG